rnacentral:sRNA from 1 species
GCGAUCGGGAACCCGCUCCUUGAAUAAAUAAAAUGGCCAGCAGCCAGGAAAUUUGAAAACAAACAAGAGGCACAAGCAUGGCCACAACAAGCACGCCCCAAGUUUAAUUACACAUCGACCCCUGGAGCGAGGUCUUAACCCGACGGCAGCUGCAUCAGUUCUUCGAGGGACUUGCAGAUGGAUACUCUGGGCACUCGUCUGCGUCUUCGCGCGUGUGUGUGUGUUUUUAUAACAUUUGUGGAUUACGCCUAUAAAAACUACACCUCACCGCGGAGCCAGCGAAGUGGGACCAGCUACAACAAAGGACAAUAAUUAUUCAGCAGAAAUGAUACAACCUGUCGCUCGAGAGAUUACAAACGGAGCUGUUUUUAUGGUUUGUUCCGCUUUUGUUUAACGAUUCCGAGGAUCACACGUAAUGCCCACGCAAUCCACCACCGAAGUCAGAAAACCGACUCAACGAAAAGCAGCGCAGCGCACCGCAACUCGACUCAACUCGACUCGACCGAAACUCGACACUUAUCCCUGGGAACUCAAAAUAGUGCUUUAUUGUUGGAAAUUACGCUUCUCUUAUUUAUUUACUUUUUCUGCAUUUCGUUGCCGCUCCACUCACUCCCACCGCUUCAAUUUUUAUAUGUUUAUUACGGUUAUUAUCGUUUAAUGGGGCUCGUUCGCUGGUUAGUGCUGUUGCUGUGUUUCUUGCCCCAGUAGUUGUGUCAGACUAACGUGUGAAGUUGUUUUAUUAUUUGUUUUGAUUAUCAAAAUGGGCGUUUUACAUUUUUCCGGUCGUUGGGCGGCCCACCUGCCACGGGCCCACCGCUUAUAGCCCACAUCCCAUAACCCCGGGGCAAAGGCAGUAAAUCACAGCCCGCUGUGAGGGGCUGAGUAUCUGGGCAGCAGUACACUCGAAAAACAAUAACCCUUCGCCCGAGCAAAUCUCUUUUAAUUAUUGGGCGGCUGGGCAUUGCAUUCCAUAUCAAAUACAUCACAGCAAUUAAGCAUUUAAUCAAUCUUUAAUGAUUUGUUGACAAUCUCCAAGUAAAGCUGUUUAAUUAAAUUAGGACUUAUUUUAAAAGUAGAUAAUAUGUAGCUUAA